rnacentral:rRNA from 1 species
AUUGAACGCUGGCGGCAGGCCUAACACAUGCAAGUCGAGCGGAUGAGAAGAGCUUGCUCUUCGAUUCAGCGGCGGACGGGUGAGUAAUGCCUAGGAAUCUGCCUGGUAGUGGGGGACAACGUUUCGAAAGGAACGCUAAUACCGCAUACGUCCUACGGGAGAAAGCAGGGGACCCUCGGGCCUUGCGCUAUCAGAUGAGCCUAGGUCGGAUUAGCUAGUUGGUGAGGUAAUGGCUCACCAAGGCGACGAUCCGUAACUGGUCUGAGAGGAUGAUCAGGCACAAUGGAACUGAGACACGGUCCAGACUCCUACGGGAGGCAGCAGUGGGGAAUAUUGGACAAUGGGCGAAAGCCUGAUCCAGCCAUGCCGCGUGUGUGAAGAAGGUCUUCGGAUUGUAAAGCACUUUAAGUUGGGAGGAAGGGCAUUAACCUAAUACGUUAGUGUUUUGACGUUACCGACAGAAUAAGCACCGGCUAACUCUGUGCCAGCCGCCGC